UCUUUAUGUUUUAUAGGUUUAUGUGUAAAUUAAAGUUAGUUAUUUUAGAUUAAAAACAUAGCAGUUUCGUUCUGGUGAGGAAUGAUAUUCAGCAAAUGAGAAAUUAUUAUUCAAUUUCACAGAUUUAACUGUAAUGUGGCUAAAACGGCGUAAUUUCUAUUUCGUCGAAGUAAAAACAUUUUAUUACAUCAAAAACAAAAUACAACAUACAAUUUUGAAUAAGACAGCUAGAAAAAUGUAUUUAAAAAAAGCGUAGGUUUUUUUCUUUGCUCUCUGAUCUGAGCGAAGUCCAGAUUUCUUCUUCCGCCAUACAGUAUCGACAUCUUUGAUAUGAGCACGUUGUAGACAGAUACGAUAGAUGUAUUUAUUUGUUACAUGUGCUCUUCGAAAUCCGAGGUUCACUAAUAAAAAACCUUGUACAAGCAUGGCUAUUAAAAAUACAUAAAUUAAAAAAAAACAUGACAUUUGUUUAAUUAUCUUAACACGCAAUUUUUAAUUGAAAUUAAUCAUUACAUUGCUUCGAUUGGACAUACAAUGGUGAUUUUAAUGAUUGCAAAUAUUAGGUUAAUAAAAUUACCUAUUAGUUAAAGUUAGUUUUGCUCAUUAUUUUUGCUAACGUCAAAAAUGUGGAUGAUGAAGUUAAUUUUUGUACUAAUAUUCGCUCGUGCAAAUUCUUAUAUUACACACUUAUCCGCACUGCCAAGAACUGAAUGUCAAAAAAACUUUGGGAAGUGUCUUCCAAUAUUACCUGGAGUUCCUUGCAACAGAUUGCCAUACGACUGCGGUGGCAUAGGCACUUGGUGUUGCGAUCUAUUACCACUCAAGUACUAUCCAUGAUAUACCACUUCAGCUUCCACUAACACGGAAAGCGUCUGCGAAGAAGGUGACGUUUCUCCAAAUGUGCAGACUUAGUGCAAAUCACAGAUUCUGAAGAAACUAUCUGAGGUGGCUCAAUUCUGACAAGAAAUAAUUUAGUAGCCGGAUUUUCGGGUUUUCCAUCGACGCGCAAUGAGGAAGAUAAUGUAUUUUAAUUCGGUCACAUCGUUUCUCCAACAAAUCUGGUCCAAGGAUGAUGUCCAGAUUCAAGUACUUCUUGAAUGACGAUAUUUAUAAUGA